rnacentral:lncRNA from 1 species
GAAGCACGACAGCCAGUCCAGCCACCAUUUGGGUGCUCAUCUCCCUCUGCUCGGCACCUAGCCCCAGCUCGCCCGAGCUCCCUGCGCCGACCUCAUCUUCCCCAUGGCGCGUCACCUUCUAGUCCUCUCCUUCCCACGGCACAGCAGCGCCCCUGCAGCUCCCCUUCUCCAGAUCCAUGGCACCCAACACCUUGAGCGCCCCUGCCGCUGCUCCUCCACCGGGAUCUCCUCCUCCACUAGGCGUCCAGGCUUGUCCCACCGUGGCUGCCCCUCCUCCAUCUCCUCCCUCCCCACCAGGUUACCCAGAUUCCAUGGCCGCCGCCGCCCCAGCCAUCUCCCUGGUGGCCGACCUCGCCCCUGCCCCAGCCACAGCUCCCCCUUCGGCCCUGCUGCUGCAAGCACUCAGCCUCUCCCAUGGCACACGGUACUCGUCCAGCCCCUUUCUACUGGUGGCUGAGCCAUCUCUCUGGUGCUCGAUGAAAUGACCAUGAGGAGUUUUGUGUUGUGUGCAGCCCCAUCUGCAACACCGUCGACCCCCGACGAGGUCCUUUCUCGCCUUGUCGUUUUAGUACUCGGCGUCGAUUAAGUAGAUGCUAACCGUGUGUAUAUUCGUGUGUUCUUGUGAGGAGAAAUCCCAUGAUUUGGGGGAAGACGAAGUCCAAGCACAACCCCCGCCAAUCGCUCGAUGAAAAAUCUAAACCAAAACCCUCAGCGUUUUCAAGGGUUCCGGAGGGAUUUUAUGUUGGUAAGGUGUUGUGCGGUGUGAUCUCCAAUUCCCUAUUGCUGUUUUCUUACUCCAUCAUGACCUUAGGGAAGGAUGUUUUCCUCUAAAUUACUCGUAAUAAUUAUGCUUGGUGUAUGUGUUGUUUUAGCUACUUGAUGAAAUGUUUUAGUUGUGUGCGAUAAUAUGGUUGCCGUUCGAGUGGAAAGUAGAUGUGUUGUAUGACCUGAGUUGGAGUUGAGGCAAGUAUGUGUGUCUCGUAUUACGAAACUAAUUAGAGAUAUGCAUGAUGUUUGUAGAUGGAUUAUGUGUAGAGUGUUUUAGUACAAGUAUUUUUUUUAGGUAUAGUUGAACCAGUUAUUGUAUAUGAAUUGUGCGAUAUCAAGGUAGUUCUAAUGUUCUUUUAACAUCUUGCUAAUAAGGUGUUAGAGUAUUCUAAAUGCCAAACAUAGGAUAAUUUUACAAGCCAAAUAGAAGUUAAAUUGAAGGUAUUGCUGUUUAGGGCUGUAGGUAUAGUUUUAGUUAUGCAGCUAGUCCAAUAAAGUAGAUCAUGUUUUCUGUAGAAGCGUUAUAUAUAAAACUUGUAGAUAAUCUUUUUAUCUUACUUGUGUAAAAAUUUCAUGACCAUAGGUGUAGUAGUUUAGGAGUUAUGAUUUUUCCAAGUCCAGUCUCAGAAUCUGUCCAAAUUCUGUACAGGUUUCGAAAAUUGGAUUGCUUGGCUAAGCUAAACUGAGAAUCAGCCCUUAGUAAUUAUAGAAGAAUUUUAGUACUUUUCUUAAGCUUUCCAACAAAUUUUGGAGCACCCUUUUUGGUGGUCUAGAUAUCAAGUUACAGCUGUUUGAACUAUAGAGUCUGAAUUUGUCCAAAUUUGGACAGCGAAGUCUGUUUGUAGUAACUGACUUUGAUAUGUAUUGAAUUAACCUGAGAUGUUUAUAAAUGAAUUGUAGACAAUUCUAUUAACUUUCUAAAAAGUCUAGGAUCACCUGAUUUGGAUUUCGGAAACUCCAGUUCUGGACUUUUGAAGUAAGUAGUCGAAUUCUGUCCAAAUCUGGACAUAAUUUAUGUUUAGCGCUGUUUGACCUUUGUAAAGGUCGAAUUUUGUUGUGAUGGUAAUACAAAAGUUAUAGAGGACUUUAUAAGCUUUCCAAAAAGUUCUAGUUUACUAUUAUUGGAUACAUAUUUUAUGAAUUGUGAGCUAAACAGAUAGUUGCUGACUUGCUGUUCUGCUGUCCAAACACAUGUCUACUGUCUGAAAAUAGCUCAUUUUGUAGUUACAUUUGCAUUAGGCUUUGAUGAUUGCUGUACAAGGAUGAUAUGGCCUCCCGCCCAAAGCUGUCUGGUAUUCAGAAGCAGGUUUUGGCGCUGUAUAGGGGAUUCCUUCGGACAGCACGCCUUAAGGCCCCUGAAGAACGCCGCAGGAUCGAGUCUGUUAUCUUGGCAGAGUUCCGUGACAACGCAAGGAGUGUUGACCUUAGGAACUUUGUACACAUAGAGUACUUGUUGAGGAGAGGGAAGAAGCAUCUUGAGCAGCUCAAGAAUCCUGAUAUUACUGGACUCGCUACCCUUGUAGUAAAGAAAUGAGGUACGUAGUUUUCAAAAACACUUAUUUGACUGUGCAUGGUCUUCGAAACAAGUUUUAGUUUUUAAGUUUGACCAAAUCUUGUCAUAAACAUCAAGUUUUUUUUUUAAACAACGGAAGUCGAUUAGUAUUUAAAAUCAGCAAGUAUCAUCCAUUAGUAUUUUAGGUCUUUAGAUUUAAAAAUUGUGGACUUGUCAAAACUCUAUGUUAUUUGAUAAGGCUCUACUUGUUAAAUUAAGUGGUGUGGUGCUUGAUUUAGUCGAUGUGCUAUGCCCGAUAAUCUAGAUUAGUAACUCUAAAAUCUAGUUAAAGUAUUUCUAUUCGUCACUUUAAGUUAUAGGUAUCCAUGGUUGUUGUGUCUAAGUAUCCGAUUUCUGAGCUCUGCCCCUGCUGUUUAGGAUAGCAUAUGGAGUUCUUUAUGUUCCACAAGCACAAUUGAUCUUAUGGAAUGGAAAUAGUAGAACAUUACCUGGUGAGAGCACACAAAUACCUUAUACAAAGCAGGUAUUGAGUCAAAUUGUUGUGUACCCAUUUGUGGUCUGGAUACACUGGUUUGGUGAAAAUGAAAUAUGCCCAAAGCAACAAAACCCAGUUCACAUGAACUGCUAUCCUGUAUUUACGAAUCUUGACUAGUCUAGUAAUAUAUGUAUGUGGAAAUAUGAAGGUUUCUUUAUUUCUCUUCUUAAACAGCAAGAGAAGAAGGAAGACUAGUCAGACAAAAUAGAAGACGAGAAGAACUGAUGUAGCCAUGUUCAUGCUUCCAUGUAAUAGUUCAUUAUUCCAUACAUAUUUCUGUCUAUCCAGAAUCUACUAUUGAAAUACAUAUCUAGCAUAGCUUGCUCAGCUCCUAUAUGUUGUUUCAACGUUGAUUUAAAAGAAGAGCUGGUAGUUGUGGGCUUUUGAACAAUAGCUGGAGUGAUAUGAAAUAUUAGUGAUGUAGUUGUGGGCUUUUAAACUGCUUCAAGCUGGAGUGAUGUCGCUGUGGUGCUUUUGUGACUGAUCAUCUCUAGAGCUUUUGUGAAUGAUCUAGCUAGCUAUCUGUAAAUGAUCUAGUUGUGAAUGAUAUUAUAAUUGUGAUGCUUUUGUGAAUAUAUAAUUGUGGUGCUUUUG